UAAUUAUGACCGUCGGAUAGAAAUUUGGAUAGUGUAGAUCGAAAAGUUUAUUUCUCAAAAGACCUCCCUUUCUCAAACGCACGAGCAUUUCCAAACCUACUUCUCUCCCGACCUCCCUCGAUCUUCCUUGAGCUCCAUCGACCUCCUCCGCAGCCACCUCGCCGCCGGUGACUAUUGACAGGCGGACGAGGCCGCGUCCCGACAACUCUCACAACCAAACCCACUUCUCUCUCGUCCUCCACCCUCACAUUUCCUCUCUCCUCAAACAUCACCAUUUCCUCCUCUUUCUCCGCCGCCGUUUCCUCGACCGCCUCCACAUGCAUCUUGUUGUAAUUUAUAAUAAUAAUUCUUAUUCUUAUUGUUGAGAAAGAAGGCCGUCUUCCAAAGAAUUUCAGGGGACACAAGUCGGAUAUUGUUUGGUCAGGAAGUCCUUGGAUGUGUGGUAAGCAGCUCAAGCAUUACCCUGCUUUCUGUAGGAAUGGGAUUACGAUAGCGGUUCAAUCUUUUGUCUUUGUUAUGGCAAAUGGAGAGAAUGACUACAUUGCUUAUCUGGAAGACAUGUAUGAGGACAAAAGAGGUUAGAAAAAGGUCAAAGUGAGGUGGUUUCAUCAUAAUCAAGAAGUCAAGGGGGUUGUUCCGCUGUGAAAUCCGCACCUGAAAGAAGUUUUUAUCACACCAUAUGCACAAGUCAUCAAUGCAGAGUGCGUCGAUGGUCUUGCCACGAUCUUAACUCGUGAACAUUAUGAAAAAUGCUUAGCUGCAAUUCCUCAUGGUUUCUUGGCCAAAGAUGAGGAUGGAUAUGACAAUCUCGAGGUAUGAAGAUCAUCAUGGUGAUGACAAUGGCAGCAAAGAAGACAUGAAAGAGCUUGAAACCCUCAAUCAGAGCUUAAAAGCAAUUAAAAUGAUGGAAGUGACGGUAUGGAUGUGUCUAACAUGAGUGGUUUUUUUCCCUUCUUAGUUCAGAGUCUCUGUAAAUAGUUACAAGGUCUUUUGGUGGGGGAAAACGAAAAACUCAUUCCAUUCCUUCGAAAAUUUCGAAUUGGUGGCUUCUGUAGGUGUACAGUCACACGUGUUAGGAUUUUAUGACCACCUGAUUUUAACUAACUAUAUUAGAAAGAUAAUUUGGUUAGGAACCUCGUAAAUGAACCAUUCAGUCCUCAUGCUUCCAUGAAAUGACUGAGUAUGUGCUUGCUUCUUGUACCUUUGUGUAAAGUUUGAAGUUUAUAAUGUCGUAUAAGAUUAAAAUUUUCCUUUA